UACAGAGGUCCCGAGCGUUGUUCGGAUUCACUGGGCGUAAAGGGUGCGUAGGUGGCCGGGUAAGUCUGAUGUGAAAUCUCGGAGCUCAACUCCGAAACUGCAUUGGAUACUCUCCGGCUGGAGGAUCGGAAGGGGGACUGGAAUUCUCGGUGUAGCAGUGAAAUGCGUAGAUAUCGAGAGGAACACCAGUGGCGAAGGCGAGUCCCUGGACGACUCCUGACACUGAGGCACGAAAGCUAGGGGAGCAAACAGG
rnacentral:rRNA from 1 species